rnacentral:rRNA from 1 species
AGGAUUAACGCUGGCGGCGUGCCUAACACAUGCAAGUCGAACGAGGUAGCAAUACCUAGUGGCAGACGGGUGAGUAACACGUGGUCAACCUUCCCUACAGUGGGGGAUAACUAGCCGAAAGGUUAGCUAAUACCGCAUAACAUCUACGAGCGGCAUCGUUUGUAGAUCAAAGGAGCAAUCCGCUGAAGGACGGGACCGCGUCCCAUUAGUUAGUUGGUGGGGUAAUGGCCUACCAAGACUCCGAUGGGUAGCUGGUUUGAGAGAGCGACCAGCCACACUGGGACUGAGAAACGGCCCAGACUCCUACGGGAGGCAGCAGUGAGGAAUUUUCCGCAAUGGGCGAAAAGCCUGACGGAGCGACGCCGCGUGUGGGAAGAAGGCCUUCGGGUCGUAAACCACUGUCGAAGGGGAAGAUAAUGACGGUACCUUCGGAGGAAGACCCCGGCGUAACUAACGUGCCAGCAGCCGC